GCAGAUAAAAGAAAAAAAAAUUAAGGACUAACAAAUGCGAUUGAAAAUGGGUUUUUCUUAAAUUUAAGAAAAAAAAACUUUAAAAAAUAAAAAAAAGCAAAAGGUCGAAAAAGAAGUGCAAGAAUUACAAAAAAUGCCACUGUCCCCAGCCUUUAUCCACGUUCCUGAACUUCCUGUCCUUGUCGGUCUUUGAUGUACUCUCCUGCUCUGUUACUUUCUCAAUCCUUCUCCCGCUUCUCUUUCUUUAUGCGUUCGUUCAAAGUGCAAACCGCGUCUUACGGGGGCUUUUUGGUCAUUUCCUUCCUCUAGAACCUUCCCCUUUCGGAACGGUUUUGUAAUGACCUGAUCACUGUACUUUUGUUGCAGAAAAGUAAGUAAUGGAGGACAACAGCGAAGAGAAAUUGAUAGAGGUGGCGCGUCACAUAGCCAAGACACUAGGCCACAACGAGUCCAUGACUGAUGAUAUUUUGCAGAUUUUUUCCAAGUUCGACGGUAGGUUCUCUCGCGAUAAGUUGUCGGAGAAAAUGUCCGGAGCUGCCGGUGACGAUUUGAGAGCCCGUGCCUCUCUCGAACAGACCCUUGAGUCUUUGGAACGUCAGAUCUCUCAGUUCGUGGUCGCCGAGCAUCCGAUUUGGUCUGAUUCCGUUGAUUCAUCUGCCUUCCUUGACUCCAUCGACGAAUUGAUCGCCACGUUUCGAUACUGGAAUCCCAUGGCCAACGCGGAUCAAUCCAUCGGCGCGUGUUUGGUACGCGCCGAGGACUUCAUGCAGCAAGCAAUUUUUCGGCUGGAGGAGGAGUUCAGGCUCUUGAUGGAACGUGGUUGCGAGUCGUUUGAACUGGCGAGGCCGUAUGGCAACGGAGAUUCAACGGAAAACGUAUUGUUUGACUCUGAUGACGACGACGAAGCGAUUAUCACCAACGGUGAGGAUCACAAUCAGAUCCCUGUGGCCCAACCGCUUACCGACUACGAUAUUGUGAUCGACGCGCUUCCGUCCGGGACGAUCAACGAUCUUCAUGAGAUCGCUAAGCGAAUGGUUGCCGCCGGUUUUGGCAAAGAGUGCUCACACGUUUACAGUGGCUGCAGAAGAGAGUUUCUGGAAGAAAGCAUGUCGAGGUUAGGGAUGCAGAAAUUGAGUAUAGAGGAGGUUCAGAGAAUGCCAUGGCAAGACCUUGAGGACGAAAUUGAUAAGUGGAUUAAAGCAGCAAAUGUCGCGCUUCGUAUACUCUUCCCAAGCGAGCGUCGCCUAUGCGAUCGAGUGUUUUUUGGGUUCUCAUUUGCAGCUGAUUUAUCGUUUAUGGAGGUGUGUCGGGGAUCCACGAUUCAGAUUCUGAACUUUGCUGACGCAGUGGCCAUCGGAAGCCGGUCACCGGAGCGGUUGUUUAAGAUUCUGGAUUUAUUUGAGACGUUGAGAGACUUAAUGCCUGAUUUUGAGUCUAAUUUCUCUGACCAGUACUGUUUAGGUCUUAGGAAAGAUGCCGUUGCAAUAUUGAAGAGGUUGGGGGAGGCGAUAAGAGGAAUAUUUAUGGAGCUGGAGAAUUUGAUCCGGCGUGACCCCGCCAAGGCUCCAGUGCCUCGUGGUGGGUUACAUCCCAUCACACGGUACGUGAUGAAUUAUCUACGUGCUGCUUGUCGAUCCAGACAGACGCUGGAACAAGUUUUUGAGGAGAACGUUAAUCUCCUUCCAUCUAAGGAUUCGUCUUCCUCCUCCUCAUUGUCAGUUCAAAUGGCAUGGAUUAUGGAGCUAUUAGAGAGUAAUUUACAGAUGAAGUCGAAGAUUUACGGAGACUCUGCCUUAUGCUCUGUUUUCAUGAUGAAUAAUGGAAGGUACAUUGUCCAAAAAGUUAAUGAUAGUGAAUUGGGUUCUCUUCUGGGUGAUGAUUGGAUCAGGAAACACACUGCAAAAAUCAAGCAAUUUCAGAUGAGUUAUCAGCGAAGCUCAUGGAAUAAGGCUUUGGGAAUGUUGAAAGCAGAUAAUGGCUCUGCAGCUCCUAAUGUCGCAGGGAAGUCCUUGUCUAUGAAAGACAAGAUGAAGUUCUUUAAUUCCCACUUUGAGGAGACUUUCAAAACUCAAUCCCACUGGAUCAUAUUUGAUGAGCAGCUAAGAAAGGACUUGAGGAUCUCUUUGGCCAACCUCUUGCUGCCAGCAUAUGGAAACUUUAUUAGAAGGCUCCAGAAUUCUCCAGAAGUUGGGAAGCAUGCUGACAAGCAUAUUAAGUAUACUGUGGAGGACAUAGAAGCCCAUAUUAAUGAUUUGUUCCAGGGAGAUGGUGGAUCAGCUGGAAGCAGAAAGUAAAGGUAAGCUGCUGCUUGUUCCAUUAACGUGUUUGAACUUUAGUAAAGUCUGAAUUUUCGUGUUUAAUGUAUAUAGUUAAGAUUAAUGUUUCUUUUAUUUCGCCUUUCCUCUUCUGUGAAUGAAAAUUACAGAUAGGUACCAUGAUCAAUCAGCUUGUUAUCCUACUUCUGAGAUGAAUUAUAUUUUUGUUCUAUGCCUUCUAUGAUAAAUGUUAUUAUAUAAUUAGAUUUAGUUAUCUAGAGGGAUCAAUAUUUCAUUUUGCAUGUUUAGCAGAUGCUUGUGGAUUAAGAAACUAGUAAGAACAUUAGAAACACAUGCAACUAGCCAAUUCCUCAACUUAACCCUAAUAAGUAAAGUGGAUACAUUAUGAGUUUGUUAUAUAUUAAGCUUGUCUUAUCUCCUUAGAUUAUGUUACUGCAUUAUGGGAGGAAACAAGUUUUCAGCAAAUGUUAGUUACAUGAUGUUAGAAUAAACUAUAAAUGCUGUAUGUGGUACACUAGUAAUGUAUAUUCCAAGUGCAUUAUUGUAUAGCCAAACAGCAAAUGGCAAAUCAGUGGUCAUUGAGAUGGUUGACACCGCGUUGCCAAAUUCAUGCGUGAAAUUAUGAAAAGGGGAGGUUACUUGGAUGUUAUCGUUUGUAAAGAAUAUUUAAGGGUGGGAAUUAGAUCUUUACAAUUUCUUUUUAUCCAUUAUGUAAUUUGAUGGACUUCCAGAGGAAGAAUGGGAUUAGUUCGACAUGUAUUGCUAGGAGUCCACGUAGGAGAAAUUUUUUAUUAACAACAAUCUCUAAGAACGGGAAUUAACCUUGUGAAUUGAUGAUUUUUAUUUAAAUGUGUUGCGGAAAAGAUUUAUGUUGUGGGAUGAAGCAGUUAGGACGGAUUGCUGGUUUGAAGGGGUAGAGAGGAAGUUCUUUGAGUUGAUCCCUCUUGCUAUUAUUUGACAGAUUCAUACGCGCGCGUAUACACGCGUAUACACGCACAGACGCAGAAGAAGUUAUUGAGUUGAUCCCUCUUGCUAUCAUUUGAUCAGUUCAGAGGGAAUGAAAUAGGAAGACUUGAGACUUAUAUUUAAGAUUUUGAAUAUAACAUAAACACACACAAGGGAAUCAUUUGAUCAGUUCAGAGGGAAUGAAAUAGGAAGACUU
rnacentral:misc_RNA from 1 species